rnacentral:rRNA from 1 species
GACGGAGGGUGCUAGCGUUGUUCGGAAUCACUGGGCGUAAAGGGCGCGUAGGCGGCCUGGCAAGUCGGCUUUGUGAAAGCCCGGGGCUCAACCCCGGAGGUGCGGCCGAGACUGCGAGGCUGGAGGCCGGAAGAGGAGGGUGGAAUACCCAGUGUAGAGGUGAAAUUCGUAGAUAUUGGGGGGAACACCGGUGGCGAAAGCGGCUCUCUGGUCCGGACCUGACGCUGAGGCGCGAAAGAGUGGGGAGCAAACAGG